UACGUAGGGCGCAAGCGUUAUCCGGAAUUAUUGGGCGUAAAGAGCUCGUAGGCGGUUUGUCGCGUCUGCCGUGAAAGUCCGGGGCUCAACUCCGGAUCUGCAGUCGAUACGGGCAGACUAGAGUCCGGAAGAGGAGAGUGGAAUUCCCGGUGUAGCGGUGGAAUGCGCAGAUAUCAGGAGGAACACCAAUAGCGAAGGCAGCUCGCUGGGACGUUACUGACACUGAGGCGCGAAAGCGUGGGGAGCGAACAGG
rnacentral:rRNA from 1 species